rnacentral:rRNA from 1 species
GAUGAACGCUGGCGGCGUGCCUAACACAUGCAAGUCGAACGGAGAUUACGGACGGAAGUUUUCGGAUGGAAGACUGUAAUUCUUAGUGGCGGACGGGUGAGUAACGCGUGGGCAACCUGCCCUAUACAGGGGGAUAGCAGCUGGAAACGGCUGGUAAGACCGCAUAAGUCGGCGAGACCGCAUGGUUUUGCCGGGAAAUGAGCAAUCAGGUAUAGGAUGGGCCCGCGUCCGAUUAGCCAGUUGGCAGGGUAAAAGCCUACCAAAGCAACGAUCGGUAGCCGGACUGAGAGGUCGGACGGCCACAUUGGGACUGAGACACGGCCCAAACUCCUACGGGAAGCAGCAGUGGGGGAUAUUGCACAAUGGAGGAAACUCUGAUGCAGCGACGCCGCGUGAGUGAAGAAGUAUUUCGGUAUGUAAAGCUCUAUCAGCAGGGAAGAUGAUGACGGUACCUGACUAAGAAGCCCCGGCUAACUACGUG